rnacentral:lncRNA from 1 species
CCGCUGCAGGGGCGGGCGGAGGCCGCCGCACUGCCUCCCGCACCGGGGACCCAGGCCAGCGUCCGGGCAACGCCCCCUGCUCCCGGACAGACUCCGUGGCCCGCUCGAGCCCUGGGGGCUCCGCAGACCCGCGCCCGCUCCGCCCGCAGCUCGGCCCCGCGCUGCCCGCGUCGCCGGGCCCGCGCCGGGAUGGGGUAGGGGCAGCGCCACCGAGUCGGGCGAUGGGCCGCCCUCUGGGCACCGAGCAGCCCCCCGAGGCCUGACCAACCGCGAGGACCGGCGGAGGAGCCCCGCCUGGAUGUCAAGCGGAUGCCAAGCGGAUGCCACAGUUCCCCCCCCAGCGGACUCCGUGGGGACAUGGCUUCGCUGGUGCCCCUUUCCCCAUAUCUAAGCCCCACGGUCCUCCUGCUGGUCAGCUGUGACCUGGGCUUCGUGCGAGCAGACCGGCCUCCCUCUCCUGUGAAUGUGACGGUCACUCACCUCAGAGCCAACUCGGCCACUGUGUCCUGGGACGUCCCAGAAGGCAACAUCGUCAUUGGCUACUCCAUUUCCCAGCAAGUAUGAAUCACCCUUCUGCUCCCCCAACCUGUGUCCUUGGAUUUCGGCACAUUUCUUCACUUAAGUGGGGGGGAUCUGGAAGCUGGCGUAUCCUGGCUCAGGCUGCCCUUUUCACGCUACUCCCCCGGAGUGCUUGGAUGUUGAAGAGUCUCUGGUUGAGCCUUGUGGCCUGGCACUGGGGUGAGGCUGUCCUCCUCUCCCCUCAUCUCCCUGCAGCGGCAGAAUGGCCCCGGGCAGCGUGUGAUUCGGGAGGUGAACACCACCACCCGGGCCUGUGCCCUCUGGGGCCUGGCUGAAGACAGUGACUACACAGUGCAGGUCAGGAGCAUCGGCCUUCGGGGAGAGAGUCCCCCAGGGCCCCGGGUGCACUUCCGAACUCUCAAGGGUUCUGACCGGCUACCUUCAAACAGUUCAAGCCCAGGUGACAUCACAGUGGAAGGUCUGGAUGGAGAGCGGCCACUGCAGACUGGGGAAGUGGUCAUCAUUGUGGUGGUGUUGCUCAUGUGGGCUGAAAAAGUCACCAUCUAUCAACACCAUCGACGUUUGAGUGAAGAAACACACCCAGAAGAGAGAUGCACUAACAACUGGGGAUAGGGAUGGGGUCAGGGGGAGCCCAAGAUGGUGAUCUGCCCGAGACUCCCAGAGGGUAAUGCCACUCCCACAAUCUCAGGCCUGGUACCCAUCCUCUUUCCACUGUGAGCAGAGCCAGAAGGUAGGUCUGUUCAGAGUCUGUGCCCCUGGACCUGGGGAGUGGAUAUCAGAUGGGAUAUCUCCUUCCAUUCCCCGGUCCAGGGGAGAGUCACUAGUUGUACCCUACUCCAUUAGGUCCCAAAUGGGGGCCCCAUUUCACCUGUAUCAGGACUCUGAGCAUCCCCAGCUGCCCCACAUCUUGCCUCUGGCCCUCAGAGAGGGGUGUUUCUGUGGGUACUCCUCUUACCCCAGCAAAUAAAAGGAAUUGUCUGACCCUAGAGGCAGAUGCUGCACUGCACUACUCCAAUGUCUUCCAUGGAGCCUCAGGUGCUCCCCCUCUCACCUGGCAGCCCCUUCAGCUGCUAGUGAUAUCACUUGUUGGACAUUUUUCCAAUAAAG